AAACCGACCUGGCUCACGCCGGUUUAAACUCAGAUCAUGUAAAAUUUUAAAGGUCGAACAGACCUAACUUACUAGCUCCUUCACCAAUAGUUAACUUUAAUCCAACAUCGAGGUCGCAAUCUUUUUUUUCGAUAAGAACUCUAAAAAAAAUUACGCUGUUAUCCCUGAGGUAAUUUAUUCUUAUAAUCUCAACCAAAGGAUCAUGUACUUAUACAUCAAUAUUASUAUAGWGAAAAGUUAAAUUAAUUUUCCCAUCACCCCAAUAAAAUAAAUAAAAAGAACCAAUAACAAUUCAGAUCCCUUAAUCUAUAAGCAACUAUUUAUUUAUUAAACUCUACAGGGUCUUCUCGUCUUCUAUAAAAAUUUAAGCUUUUUCACUUAAAAAUAAAAUUCUAUUAAAUUUCUUUAGAGACAGCCUUUUUCUCAUCAAACCUUUCAUACAAGCUUCCAAUUAAAAAACUAAUUACUAUGCUACCUUUGCACGGUCAAUAUACCGCGGCCAUUAAAUUAAUCAUCGGGCAGGCCAAACUUGAAAUC
rnacentral:rRNA from 1 species